CCUACGCGUGGCAGCAGUGGGGGAUAUUGCACAAUGGGGGGAACCCUGAUGCAGCUACGCCGCGUGGGUGAAGAAGCGCCUCGGCGCGUAAAGCCCUGUCAGCAGGGAAGAAAAUGACGGUACCUGAAGAAGAAGCCCCGUCUAACUACGUGCCCGCACCCGAGUUAAUACGUAGGGGGCAAGCGUUAUCCGGCUUUACUGGGUGUAACGGGGGCGCAGACGGGGAUGCAAGCCAGGAGGGAAAGGCCGGGGCCCAACCCCGGGACUGCUCUUGGAACUGCGUGGCUGGAGUGCAGGAGGGGCAGGCGGAAUGCCUGGUGUAGCGGUGAAAUGCGUAGAUAUCAGGAGGAACACCGGUGGCGAAGGCGGCCUGCUGGACUGCAACUGACGUUGAGGCCCGAAAGCGUGGGGAGCAAACAGGAUUAGAUACCCUUGUAGUC
rnacentral:rRNA from 1 species